rnacentral:rRNA from 1 species
AUUGAACGCCGGCGGCAUGCCUUACACAUGCAAGUCGAACGGCAGCACGGGUGCUUGCACCUGGUGGCGAGUGGCGAACGGGUGAGUAAUACAUCGGAACGUACCUUAUCGUGGGGGAUAACGCAGCGAAAGCUGUGCUAAUACCGCAUACGCCCUGAGGGGGAAAGCGGGGGGAUCGAAAGACCUCGCGCGAUUAGAGCGGCCGAUGCCUGAUUAGCUUGUUGGUGGGGUAAAAGCCCACCAAGGCGACGAUCAGUAGCUGGUCUGAGAGGACGAUCGGCCACACUGGGACUGGGACACGGCCCAGACUCCUACGGGGGGCAGCAGUGGGCAAUUUUGGACAAUGGGGGCAACCCUGAUCCAGCAAUGCCGCGUGAGUGAAGAAGGCCUUCGGGUUGUAAAGCUCUUUUGUCAGGGAAGAAACACCGGCUCUAACACAGUCCGGGAAUGACGGUACCUGAAGAAUAAGCACCGGCUAACUACGUGCCAGCAGCCGCCGUAA